rnacentral:rRNA from 1 species
GAGUUUGAUCCUGGCUCAGGACGAACGCUGGCGGCGUGCUUAACACAUGCAAGUCGAACGGAAAGGCCCCGCUCGCGGGGUACUCGAGUGGCGAACGGGUGAGUAACACGUGGGUGAUCUGCCCUGCACUUCGGGAUAAGCCUGGGAAACUGGGUCUAAUACCGGAUAUGACCUCCCUUUAGUGUGGGGGGUGGAAAGAUUUAUCGGUGCAGGAUGAGCCCGCGGCCUAUCAGCUUGUUGGUGGGGUAAUGGCCUACCAAGGCGUCGACGGGUAGCCGGCCUGAGAGGGUGGACGGCCACAUUGGGACUGAGAUACGGCCCAGACUCCUACGGGAGGCAGCAGUGGGGAAUAUUGCACAAUGGGCGGAAGCCUGAUGCAGCGACGCCGCGUGGGGGAUGACGGCCUUCGGGUUGUAAACCUCUUUCGACAGGGACGAAGUGAAAAUGACGGUACCUGUAUAAGAAGCACCGGCUAACUACGUGCCAGCAGCCGCGGUAAUACGUAGGGUGCGAGCGUUGUCCGGAAUUACUGGGCGUAAAGAGCUCGUAGGUGGUUUGUCACGUCGUCUGUGAAAUUCCGGGGCUUAACCUCGGGCGUGCAGGCGAUACGGGCAAUACUUGAGUGCUGUACGGGAGACUGGAAUUCCUGGUGUAGCGGUGAAUGCGCAGAUAUCAGGAGGAACACCAAUGGCGAAGGCAGGUCUCUGGGCAGUUACUGACGCUGAGGAGCGAAAGCAUGGGUAGCGAACAGGAUUAGAUACCCUGGUAGUCCAUGCCGUAAACGGUGGGCGCUAGGUGUAGGGGACCUCCACGUUCUCUGUGCCGUAGCUAACGCAUUAAGCGCCCCGCCUGGGGAGUACGGCCGCAAGGCUAAAACUCAAAGGAAUUGACGGGGGCCCGCACAAGCGGCGGAGCAUGUGGAUUAAUUCGAUGCAACGCGAAGAACCUUACCUGGGCUUGACAUACACCGGACCGGCGUAGAGAUACGUCUUCCCUUGUGGCCGGUGUACAGGUGGUGCAUGGUUGUCGUCAGCUCGUGUCGUGAGAUGUUGGGUUAAGUCCCGCAACGAGCGCAACCCUUGUCUUAUGUUGCCAGCACGUGAUGGUGGGGACUCAUGAGAGACUGCCGGGGUCAACUCGGAGGAAGGUGGGGAUGACGUCAAAUCAUCAUGCCCCUUAUGUCCAGGGCUUCACACAUGCUACAAUGGUCGGUACAGCAGGUCGCGAACUCGUGAGAGUAAGCCAAUCCUUCAAAGCCGGCCUCAGUUCGGAUUGGGGUCUGCAACUCGACCCCAUGAAGUCGGAGUCGCUAGUAAUCGCAGAUCAGCAACGCUGCGGUGAAUACGUUCNCCGGGCCUUGUACACACCGCCCGUC